ACCUUGUGGACAUAGCUUAGUUGGUUAGAGAAUAGUGCUGACAACGCCAAGGUUGCUGGUUCGAUUCCCAUAUGGGACA